rnacentral:rRNA from 1 species
GACCGCGACCAUACCAUGUUGGAAACACCGGUUCUCGUCCGAUCAUCGAAGUUAAGCAACGUUGGGCCAGGUUACUGACC